rnacentral:rRNA from 1 species
GACGAACGCUGGCGGCGUGCUUAACACAUGCAAGUCGAACGGAAAGGCCCUGCUUUUGUUGGGUGCUCGAGUGGCGAACGGGUGAGUAACACGUGAGUAACCUGCCCUUGACUUUGGGAUAACUUCAGGAAACUGGGGCUAAUACCGGAUAGGAGCUCCUGCUGCAUGGUGGGGGUUGGAAAGUUUCGGCGGUUGGGGAUGGACUCGCGGCUUAUCAGCUUGUUGGUGGGGUAGUGGCUUACCAAGGCUUUGACGGGUAGCCGGCCUGAGAGGGUGACCGGCCACAAUGGGACUGAGAUACGGCCCAGACUCCAACGGGAGGCAGCAGUGGGGAAUAUUGCACAAUGGGCGGAAGCCUGAUGCAGCAACGCCGCGUGCGGGAUGACGGCCUUCGGGUUAUAAACCGCUUUCGCCGGUGACGAAGCGUGAGUGACGGUAAUGGGUAAAGAAGCACCGGCUAACUACGUG